rnacentral:tRNA from 2 species
GGGGCUAUAGCUCAGCUGGGAGAGCACCUGCCUUGCACGCAGGAGGUCUGCGGUUCGAUCCCGCAUAGCUCCACCA